rnacentral:rRNA from 1 species
UACGGGGGGGGCUAGCGUUGUUCGGAUUUACUGGGCGUAAAGGGCGCGUAGGCGGCGUAACAAGUCACUUGUGAAAUCUCCGGGCUUAACCCGGAGCGGCCAAGUGAUACUGUUGUGCUAGAGUGCGGAAGGGGCUACUGGAAUUCUCGGUGUAGCGGUGAAAUGCGUAGAUAUCGAGAGGAACACCGGUGGCGAAGGCGGCCUUCUGGACAGUGACUGACGCUGAGACGCGAAAGCGUGGGGAGCAAACAGG